rnacentral:misc_RNA from 1 species
UGUGGGAGCUGGCUUGCCUGCGAUGCCAGCACCUCGGUGUAUCAGGCAGACCCGGCUGAUGCUAUCGCAGGCAAGCCAGCUCCCACA